CUUGAAAUAAAGGAAACAAAAUAUUAGAAUUUCAGUUCUACACUAUUGCUUUUUACCAGUUUCCUAGAAGAUGAAAAAACUUCUAUACAAAACAAAUUUAUCCCUUGUAUGCACUAAUUUUGCCACAAGAACUAACAAGAUCCAUAUCCUUCUGUUAUUGAAAAAAAGAGAGGCAAUGAAAGGCAUAUGAGGAGAACCUUUGGCCCAUUUGGUCUUUGCAUGCGAUGCAACAAGAUUUCAUAUAUAACGAAUUUAGUUGGACCAUUGAAUCAGCAGGCAGGGAAGGACCAAUUGACUGUGGGCAUGACAGAGUCCUAGAAAAGUUGAUUGGUGGCUGGGACAGUCAAAUUGUGGGUCAGCCAUCCCCAAAGGCUAAGGAAGGAGAGUUGACUGAUCAAACUGAUUACUGACCCUAAGGAGCUGAAAAUGAGAAGAAAGAUACUUUCAAGGUGGAGGUUUUGCACACAUGAGAUAAAGGUCAAUGAGAUGAAGGAAGCAUGCAGGUUCUUUUAUUUGUAUCGGCAAUGUAGGUGUGGAAACUAUUAACCACCAUGCCACAGGGUCAAUUAUUUGAAAAUAUGGUUUAUCCUCGGAUGUUAGAAAUGGUACAAUCUAUGAUUGAAGAUAAAUACUUGUACAAUAAAAGUUAGGCGAGCUCAUAUCAUUCAUAAUCAAUUGCUAAAAGGUAAAAAGUAUGCAGUGAAGGCAACGAGAUAGCAAUUGGGAACGAACUAACCUUCAAU